rnacentral:rRNA from 1 species
CCUUUCUUUUCCGCCCAAACCACCCCCUCCCCCCGCCGCCGAGGCCUCCAUUCCUCAUGGAAGCCGCUGCCGCUGCGAGCCCCGGUAGCUCGUCGCUGGAAGCCGUGGCCACCGCCUUCCGGUCCCGCGUCAACGAGCUCCAGGACCUCGCCCUUGCCCGCAACAUGUACCCGGCAACGGCGGUGACCGACCUCACCACCGUGGACACGUCGGUGACGGCCAUGGAGGCACAGGUGCAGGCCAUCCGCCGCCGCCUGCAGGAGGAGCUCGACGCCAUCCCCAAGGCCAAGAAACUAGUGGAGAAGUCCUUGAAGCAACAGCAGAAGUUGCAGCAUAUGCUUGCAAACAUGCCACCUGGGAUGCGUGAGGAUAUCGUUGCUACUCCUCUGGAACAAAGCUUGAUGUUGCCCGAGUGCUUUAAUUUUAACACAGCUGUUCCAGAAUUUCUGGACUCUGAUUUUAAGAUUAAGGAAGAGCCAGUUGCGGCUCCCAAAAAGGGGAAAGGUUCAGCACCUCGUUGGUAUAUAUCCACUGAGGAGCUUGAUUCAUUGUCAUCGUACAUGAGGGGGAGGCUAACAUUGGAGAAGGUUAACAUUUCGAUAAACGAGGUGGCUACAUAUGCAGAUGCUAAUGCUCAUCUUGUUGCAUGUCCUAAGAAAAAGUUAUCAGAAGACACAUGGGAAAAAGCUUUGGAACUAAGGGACAUAGCUGCCACUGAGGCAGUGAAGGGGAAGCAUUUCUUCCUGGAAGCUGAUAUAAAGGGGCCUGGGCUAAAACUUGAUCACACAGGCAAAGCUAUCCUUACCGUCCUUCGCCAUCUUGGCCGCGUCCAUGAAACCCGGAUUGGGCAUCAUCGGGUCUUCAUACUUUCAAAACAAUGCUGAAUGAAGGGGUUGUUAUAAGCAUUAAGAUUUGAUGUGAUAUAUGGCCGGGGCCACACAUUCUUGCAGCCUGUUUGUUACGGCCUAGUUUGGUUUGCAAUUGUAGUAGCCUUGGUGUAAUUUCCGACGAAUGAUUGAUUCAGUUGUAAUACGUUCGUUUCUUCAUUUCUUUUUAUGGGAGUUUGUUCCUUCUCCUUUGUACAAAGACAUGCUAAGCUUUUGCGUGUUCUUAGACAACAAGGUCAACAACCCCCCUAAAAGAAACUACACUGGCCGAACAUGAUUCUGGGCUGUCGGAUCGAACAUGGAUGGUACAUAUUGCAGUGGAGGGAUCUCAGGCCCUUAAUAUACAC